rnacentral:rRNA from 1 species
GACGAACGCUGGCGGCGUUCUUAACACAUGCAAGUCGAACGGAAAGGCCCUGCUUUUGUGGGGUGCUCGAGUGGCGAACGGGUGAGUAACACGUGAGUAACCUGCCCUUGACUUUGGGAUAACUUCAGGAAACUGGGGCUAAUACCGGAUAGGAGCUCCUGCUGCAUGGUGGGGGUUGGAAAGUUUCGGCGGUUGGGGAUGGACUCGCGGCUUAUCAGCUUGUUGGUGGGGUAGUGGCUUACCAAGGCUUUGACGGGUAGCCGGCCUGAGAGGGUGACCGGCCACAUUGGUACUGAGAUACGGCCCAGACUCCUACGGGAGGCAGCAGUGGGGAAUAUUGCACAAUGGGCGGAAGCCUGAUGCAGCAACGCCGCGUGCGGGAUGACGGCCUUCGGGUUGUAAACCGCUUUCGCCUGUGACGAAGCGUGAGUGACGGUAAUGGGUAAAGAAGCACCGGCUAACUACGUG